CGGAGUGUGGCGCAGCCUGGUAGCGCACUUGCAUGGGGUGCAAGGGGUCGUGGGUUCGAAUCCCGCCACUCCGACCA
rnacentral:tRNA from 1 species